rnacentral:rRNA from 1 species
AAAGAUUUAUCGCCUAAGGAUGAGCCCGCGUAGGAUUAGCUUGUUGGUGAGGUAAAGGCUCACCAAGGCGACGAUCCUUAGCUGGUCUGAGAGGAUGAUCAGCCACACUGGGACUGAGACACGGCCCAGACUCCUACGGGAGGCAGCAGUGGGGAAUAUUGGACAAUGGGCGAAAGCCUGAUCCAGCAAUGCCGCGUGAGUGAUGAAGGCCCUAGGGUUGUAAAGCUCUUUUACCCGGGAAGAUAAUGACUGUACCGGGAGAAUAAGCCCCGGCUAACUCCGUGCCAGCAGCCGCGGUAACACGUAGGGCGCAAGCGUUGUCCGGAAUUAUUGGGCGUAAAGAGCUCGUAGGCGGUUUGUCGCGUCUGCUGUGAAAACCUAAGGCUCAACCUUGGGCUUGCAGUGGGUACGGGCAGACUAGAGUGCGGUAGGGGUGACUGGAAUUCCUGGUGUAGCGGUGGAAUGCGCAGAUAUCAGGAGGAACACCGAUGGCGAAGGCAGGUCACUGGGCCGCAACUGACGCUGAGGAGCGAAAGCAUGGGGAGCGAACAGGAUUAGAUACCCUGGUAGUCCAUGCCGUAAACGUUGGGCACUAGGUGUGGGGCUCAUUCCACGAGUUCCGUGCCGCAGCAAACGCAUUAAGUGCCCCGCCU